UAGGAAUCACAUGAUAAAGAGUACUUUACUAUCCAGACAUUGGUGAUGAUGAAGAACAAAGCAAAGUAAAGGACGAAAAUGAAAUCAAUGAGUACUGCAAGUUGGGAUGUGCAUUCUCUUUGUGCAAAAAUAUAGCCUCUUCCAAGGAAUUAGAUGAAGCAGUGGAACGUUGUAACGGU